AUUGAACGCUGGCGGAAUGCUUUACACAUGCAAGUCGAACGGCAGCACGGACUUCGGUCUGGUGGCGAGCGGCGAACGGGUGAGUAAUGUAUCGGAACGUGCCCAGUCGUGGGGGAUAACGUAGUGAAAAUUACGCUAAUACCGCAUACGAUCUAUGGAUGAAAGCGGGGGAUCGCAUGACCUCGCGCGAUUGGAGCGGCCGAUAUCAGAUUAGGUAGUUGGGGGGGUAAAGGCCCACCAAGCCAACGAUCAGUAGCUGGUCUGAGAGGCCGAUCCGCCACACUGGGACUGAGACACGGCCCAGACUCCUACGGGAGGCAGCAGUGGGGAAUUUUGGACAAUGGGGGCAACCCUGAUCCAGCAAUGCCGCGUGAGUGAAGAAGGCCUUCGGGUUGUAAAGCUCUUUUGUCAGGGAAGAAACACCGGCUCUAACACAGUCCGGGAAUGACGGUACCUGAAGAAUAAGCACCGGCUAACUACGUGCCAGCCGCCGCGGUAA
rnacentral:rRNA from 1 species